rnacentral:misc_RNA from 1 species
ACUUCCGUUUGCACCGCAGCCGACACAUGGAUGAUUCUACAAGGACCAGUAUAUGUGACCCGGGCCUUGAACCACAUGCAUUAUCUAGGCCGAGAACAAUACAUUGACCUUUACAGAAAUGGGGCCAAGGUCGCAACACUUACCAAUGAACCCGAUUACAGUUACGACAGACCACGGUUUAUUGAGUUCGAGGAUUCAAUCCAGAUAUUCCCCGGAGAUGAAAUACGAACCAGAUGUGUGUUUAAGUCCACAACCAAAUCUGUCACUACUUUUCAAGGCGACGGAACUUCCGACGAGAUGUGCUUCGGUUUUCUAACGGUUCAUCCGCUCAGUAACACAAGGACUCUCCAUUGUUCUUCCUGGAAAAAUGCGUCCAUUGUAGGUCUGUUCCAAAGUUCCAAUGGCUGUGAUUGGAGAGUCUUCGGAAACGUAAGCCACCCUGAUAUGGCCCCGUUAUACCAAGGCGUUUCCAUGCAUUGUCGGCCAUUAGGUCAGUGUCUUGAAGAGUGCAAAGAGGCCGUCAAGCGGUUCAGAAGUCACCCAUGCAUGACGGGCACCAUGGGAGAGUAUGUCAUGUGGAACGCCGGUAAUUCAAAGACUUUCGAGGAAUUGAGCUUCUACUCAAAAGUUAGGUCAUGUGACCUCGAGAUUUUGCGAGAACAACUCUUGACGCAGACGACAAACGGAGAUGACACAAACGUAGGAGCGAGGGUUCUACCGGAACUAUCGGCUCUUCUGGUUGCUGCUUUACUGGCCUUGUUUUUAUAAAAAAUAUCAUAGAUCACUGUCUUGUUGUUAGAAUUAGGAUGGGAAGAUUUACUUGUGUGCUGAUAUAUAAAUGUAUCAAUGCAAUAUUAU